CUCAAACUGUACUCUCCAGAUGUUGCUAGACAACUCACCGGCUUCCAUCGGAUCCUGCCGCACGACAUCGCCGCCCGCCGAUCUCCGUCGCCCGCUGCCUCCAAUGCCCGCCCGGACCGACCAGUAAAAAUACUUAAAACAUCCAAGCGUCUGUGGUCAGUAAGUAUGUGGAUGAGACAGAAUAAAGAGCGUCUUCUAAGUAGGAUCUGCUAACCAGAUGAAGGGAAGUCUGUGUAAACAUGGAUAAAAGAUCUGUGUCUCCUGUGGAAUACUUCGAAUUCAGUGGACUAUGUCGAUGACCUGCACUUUUUUUUAUUACUA